UAAGUCCAAGCUGUGUCUUUUAGACACGGCGAGACCGCGGACGGCUCAUUAAAUCAGUCGUGGUCCAAAUGGGCCAGUGUUUAUCUUACUUGGAUAACUGUGGUAAUUCCAGAGCUAAUACAUGCAACUCAUAUCCCGAAGGCUCGGGCGUUCUCUUGUAGGGCGUCCUUGUUCUGACGGAUGCUUUUAUUAGACCAAACCGCUGAGGGCGUGUGCUGCCUCGUGUGGCCUCGCUUGACUCGUUCAAUGGUGACUCUGAAUAACCUUUUUGACAAGCGCACGUACCCCUCUUUUGAGCGGGACGGCGCUGCCACUUUCGAGUGUCUGCCUUAUCAGCUAUCAACCGUUCGUUAUGUGCGACCGAUGGCUUUGACGGGUAACGGGGAAUCAGGGUUCGAUUCC
rnacentral:rRNA from 1 species